CUUAGUUUUCUGCCUUCACCCGAGUGACACAGGCACUGAGACAAAAAACCUUGAAGCGUUCAGCGGGCAGCAAGGAGCAGGCUGGGCUGGUGCAGGGGGAGCGAAAGGCCGCGGGCCUGCUGAGGUGGGGGAGCAGAGAUGGGCUGUGCCCAGCACGCUGCCAGCCACGCGCCUCUGGUGAGGAUGACGCCGUGCUACAUCGGUCAUGUCCCCGAAAUGAGUUUCUCUAAAAAUUCCAAAGCACUGGUGGAGGUGAAUGCCUGCCUUGAGAACCUUGUUUCUCAGCUUUGGGGUGCUGAGCAGCUCGUUAGUUACUGCGUGCUUGAAGGAGACUUGAACCAGUUCAAGCCUUAGAAACGGAUCUAGAGAUGAGUUAACCCUGCUCAAACUAUCUUCAGUUGUGCCUUCCAGUCUCCACUACUGCGUAUGGGACACGCACCUCCACGGAACCCUUCACAGCAGGUUGGGAAAUGUCACAGGACUCAGUCUGGAUUUGCUGACCGAGGGAAGGCGAACCUGCAGGGACUGAGCUCCAGGAGACCACGGCAGCUCCGGCACAGAGCCCGGUGUGACUGCUGGGAAGCAAGGUGCGACCUGGACAAGAAGCUGGUUUCUGCUGGAAAAAUACUGCUGAGCUCCUUGUGCUUGUGCCAGUGUUAUUUAAAGCAACCUUGCAACAAUGCAGCAGCAAAGGAAGAAAAUUCUUGUCCCCACUAAAUUCCAGAAAAAUUGUCAUUAUGUCUCCACUUCAUCUGUCUCACUUCUUCUGUGUAACAGAAGCAUCCUUAGGAUGUUGCUUUCCAUGCAAGCUGUGCCCCAGCAAUACAAGACAGUGGGUAGGUACUGAGGGAGGCAGAGUCUGCAGUUUCUGUGAGUCCAAUGUAACAGCAGAAGGCUGAUAAAACUCAACCAAAUUGUCUCAGGCAAAUAUCAAUUGAUUUUUUUUUAUUUGUCAGCUUCUGUUUCCCCCUCAAAUGACAUUUAUGUGCUCUCCUUGCUUAACUAGGAGGAUUUGAGACAGCAUUAAAGAUGAGGGGAAAAUUAUUCAAUAGAGAAUCAAACCUACUUCAAGCAUAUUUGCUGCAUCCUCUUCCUAACCUCAUCUGCAGCCCACUUCCACAUACAUACUGGUUUUUCUACCAUUUUUGCCCUGGCAUCCACAGAAAUAAUUUGCACCGCUCGAAUCCUGUAGUCCCUGUUUCCGUAUAGGGAGGGAGAUGCUGCUGGGUGGCAGCUCCCCACUCCCAGCAUGGUUAGCAGAAGGGUGCCUAAUUCCACCCUAUGGCACAGAAGUGGGGCCACACUGCACCUGCUGGCUUGUAAGGAACACAGGGCUGCCAGAGUGAGAACAGGAGAGACUUACUGCAACUGGCCUUCAGAACGACUUCAAGCAGCUAUUUGUGAAAUUGUGAAGAUCUUUGAGCACCUACUGUGAUAUUUAAGUAAACUGAGUUGGCUUUACGGAGGUUUUCUUUACUGUGUGAGUGAGGAAGCAUGGACGCAGGUACCCAGAGAGGUGCUGGGGUCUCCGUGGAGACCUCCAAACCCAGCAGGACACGGUGCCAGGCAGCAGCUCUGGUGGCCCUGCUGGAGCAGUGGGUGCCAGAGGGAUCCAGAGGUGCCCCCAGGCCCAGUUCUGUGGCUGCACGAUGCUGUUACACAGCCUUGCAGCUGUUCAGAAGGCAGAUUCCAGGCUGGUACCGAGGCUACGGACAAUAAAAAGCAGAAGCUGUAAGGUUUCAAAGUCCAUGGGAAUAAACAUACUACGUUUCUCAAGUCAGGCUAAUUCAAAGCAUUUUAAAAAGAGAACAUGGUGGAAAAGCGACAGUCCAGUAAAGCGCCGAGAUGGCUAACACUAGGUAAACCUCAAGAAUGCAGAAUUAUAUAUUUGAAAAGGAGAAGCCAGAGCAGCCUCCCAGAGCCCCAACCCACAGGCAGCGCAGUGCCAGGCAGCGUCCUGCUUCCCCGAGGACAAAGGCGGUGGCAGAGCAUGAGCAAAGCUGACUGCAAAGUGGGUCAGGCACGGAAUGAGAGCAGAGGCUCCUUCCCAGCAGCCCUCCUCCAGGGCCUCCCCAUUUCCCCAGGAGAACUCACGCUGACAGCUACGAUAAGGAAGGGUUUUGACAAAGUCGUGACAAUGAACCAGCAUGGUGGUGUUCUCAAACCGCCUGAGAUGUGCAGGCAGCAGGAAAACAGGCUAAAGCCUUUCCACCAAGCAUGAGAUUACUGGUUUAAGGAGUCCUAUUUGACAGUUCAGCACUUCCUAUUUAAAUGUAUCAUCCAAUUUCAGACAGUUUCUGUGGUUUUGUUUUGUUGGUUUUUUUUUAAGGGAACAGCUGCACUUAGGGGUGAUCCGAUGAGAAAUACGGAUCCAGAAGUCAGUGAGAGGACCAAGUAACAGACGUUUAGUUCAAUUUAUACCAUCUGCAUUUAUUUGCAGUAUUGCUGGUGCUCAUCAGCUGCACCCACCCCUAGGUUUUCACCAGAGAUGCUCACCUCAAGUUGCUCUCUUCCAUCACCUGCACAGUGCAGGCAUUGGAAAAUCAGCAGAAAUGAGCUGAUGGCGAUUGGAAACCACUGGACACUCCUUGGUUUGCUUCUAGUUGACAUCGCAAACCAAAACCAAAGCCCUGGCAUCUUCACAGCGGUUUGAUGAUGAGCUAACAGGCUGGCACGCAUCUCAGGCUGAAGCAGCACCAGCACCAAGAGCAGCUCAGCUCUUCCUACAGCAGGAACUCGUGGUGUUACCAGUGAGGAAAUGAAGGGGCAAGAACGGGAAGAACACAGGGAUGUAUUUAUUGAACUACGAUGAAGAUGCAAAAAAUAAACCGAGUACUUCCAUAUCUUAUUUUUGUAUUGUAUGUGAAAAAAUGUAGUCGGCCUUUAGGAUUCAGACUGAAUUUUCAAACUGCCAGAGGACAGACUUCGUCCCAGGCCCGUACCAUACAAUUACUUUAUCUACAUGACUUUCAGCAACUAUGAAAAAAAAUCCAGGCCAACCUUCGACACCAAGCAGACUGAAGAACAGUCAGACGAAACGCCAGAGCUUUCAGCACCAGUAUGUACUCAGCACCUCUUUUCAAGGCAGAAGUGUCAUCCAGACAAAGAACAACAAGUUAGCAAGUUCUGUCCAUCUUCACUUACCCAAGCAUCAAGAAACCUAACAGGGUAUUGUCAGAUCUACAACAGCAGAGCAGCGAUACUGAGCUUGUAUGCAGAUGUUAGCAGCUGGAAGCUAUCUGGCUUCAGCCUGAGCCUACAAGCACGAGCAUUGAUUUGCCUUGGAGAAAACAGGCACCUACACACAGCAGCCCUCAUCAGCCACAGCAGCUGUAGCAGCAGAGCUCUGCAGGACACACAGCUGGGCAGCUGAGCCCAGGGGGAGGCCAAGGGACAGGCAGCAAAGGCAAAAGAGAAUGAAGGAAAGAAAUCCUGCAAAUCUGUACGUUCCAAAUCCUUCCCUCUUCUCCUUCCAAAAAGGAAAUUACCAAAGGUUUUCCUGUGCAUGGUGUAUGUACUAAUACUUUGUUUGUUUCUGACUUAACGAUUCCUUACUUCAAAGAACAGACCUCUACCAAUGAGAGGUGUUCACUUCAGUCUGAUAUACAAAUUCAGGUAAAAUCAUCCCUCAGUGAUGAAAAUACAGGACUUUGAGGUACUGCUACAUCACCUUUCCAAGGAAUCUACCAGUGGCCGCAGUGCAGAAGGUCAAUACUGAUCUGUGAAACAAAGAGAAAUCCUAAUUAUGUGCAUACAGCCAUAAAGUGGAGGAAGCUUUGCUUAGGUGAACUUCUAGUCAGCCAGCUGCUGAAAACAUUGGUCAGUAAUUAUUUCUAUUUCAAGUUUUCUCUUCUCUUGAAUCCUGCUAACACACUUCUAGCUGACAAAUAGCAUUACUAAUCCCCAUCAGAAUUACAAUUUCUUGUUCAGAAUGGGAUAUUCUUAAAAAGAAGUCUACAAAUGGCCAGUCACAGCAUAACGAUGGAGAAAAGUGCAAGAAUUGGAGGGACUGUCAAGGUACUCCAUUUACUUUAGUAACAGCUGCUUGCAUGUGCAUACAGAAACAGAACAAACGAACGAACUGCCUCCCACUACAGCAGGGGAUGCAUCAUGCCAAAGGCAGUAGGGCAAAUCAUUCCUCUUGAUGGAAUGGUGUCAGUGAAGGUACAAAGUUCUAUCUGCAAAAGCACAAAGGCAGAGAAUGGCAAGCAAGAGGAAAGGGAACUUCAUGAACUACUCGCUAAAGCAAAGGAACUUUUUUUGAUAGUGAUCAAAGCAAGAGCUCCCAACAUACUAGAGAAAAACAACAACAAAAGCAACACCUCCACGUGAGCCUUAUUUUUAGAAUGCACUUCUUCCUGUAAGAGAUCAUGCUUCAGGACUGAGGUUUCCAGAAAUAGUUCAGAGCUCGACCUGAAGGUAGAAUUUUUGCUAACGAAAAGAAACAAGUAACCACCUAAGCCUUUCAGAAAAGGUGUGAAGUAAUGAACUGUGAAAGGAAGCGUCCUUCAAGUCUGAGAAUUAAGCAGCCCUUCAACAGAAAACCUCAGAAAAGCAAGGAAGUCCAAAAAAGAGCGUGUGAAAGAGAAUGCUGCAGAGCACCAAGAGGGAAAAGAAGAAAAAGAGAGCAACAUUUCAUCAAUAAGUGAGCUCUGUUCUCAGCUACGUGAGACCGCAGGACCAGACAUCUCCCUGGGAUAGAAUUCAGAAGGUCAGAGUUUGCCAG